GCCUUCAUGGUGUAGUGGUCAGCACGCUCGACGCGUAACCGAGAGGUCCGUGGUUCAAUUCCCGGCGAAGGCG
rnacentral:tRNA from 1 species